AUUGAACGCUGGCGGCAGGCCUAACACAUGCAAGUCGAACGAGUGGCGGACGGGUGAGUAAUGUCUGGGAAACUGCCCGAUGUAGGGGGAUAACUACUGUAAACGGUAGCUAAUACCACGUACCAUCGGAUGUGCCCAGAUGGGAUUCUCUUGUAGGUGAGGUAAAGGCUCACCUAGGCGACGAUCCCUAGCUGUUCCUAGAGGAUAACCAGCCACACUGGAACUGAGACACGGUUCAGACUCCUACGGGAGGCAGCAGUGGGGAAUAUUGCACAAUGGGCGCAAGCCUGAUGCAGCCAUGCCGCGUGUAUGAAGAAGGCCUUCGGGUUGUAAAGUACUGUCAGCGGGGAGGCGUUACCCGCAGAAGAAGCACCGGCUAACUCCGUGCCAGCAGCCGCGGUAAUUC
rnacentral:rRNA from 1 species